GUGCCCACUUUGGCAGCACAUGUACUAAAAUUUGAACAAUACAGAGAAGAUUAACGUGGUCCCUGCACAAGGGGGACAUGCAAAUUCAUGAAGUCUUCCAUAUUUAA